rnacentral:lncRNA from 1 species
AACUUUGUAUGAAUCACAUUGUUAUGACAUUAUUACGUCACUGUGACGUAAUAAUUACUUGGAAUUCUCACAGAUUUUAAACAAGUAGGAGACGGUGUUUGAUGCCUUGAGAAGAUCAUCUAAUACAAGUUUAUAUUUGGGACAAUUGACAAUUUCUGGUCCUCAUCAACCAAAAACUGAAUACAAUAAUAGCUUAAAUGUGGAUCGAAAGCAAUCAUAUUGAUAUCAAAUCACAAGUUUUACUUCAUAAGAAGUUACUACUCGCUAAUAUUAUGAACAAAAUGAACCGCAAAUAAGCUUGCAAGCAUGAAAAACCCAGGAAUUAAGGAGUAAUCGCUUUGUUUCGAGAUGUUUUUAUUAUAGUAAACCUCAAAGUUAUUUGAGUGAAACUGCUUUGUAAACAUUAAAAACUGAAUAAAACCAGCUUGUUAUCUCGAUA